GACGGGGGGGGCAAGUGUUCUUCGGAAUCACUGGGCGUAAAGCGCACGUAGGCGGAUUGUUAAGUCAGGGGUGAAAUCCUGGAGCUCAACUCCAGAACUGCCUUUGAUACUGGCAUUCUCGAGUCCGGAAGAGGUGAGUGGAAUUCCGAGUGUAGAGGUGAAAUGCGCAGAUAUCAGGAGGAACACCGGUGGCGAAGGCGGGUCUCUGGGCCGUAACUGACGCUGAGGAGCGAAAGCGUGAGGAGCGAACAGG
rnacentral:rRNA from 1 species